UCACAUGAUGAGAUUUGAGAUAUAUAGGAAGUGCCGUCCGAUGCGAUAACUGACGAUCUCAUAUUCUGAUU